rnacentral:rRNA from 1 species
AAGAGCUUGCUCUUAUGAAGUUAGCGGCGGACGGGUGAGUAACACGUGGGUAACCUGCCCAUAAGACUGGGAUAACUCCGGGAAACCGGGGCUAAUACCGGAUAACAUUUUGAACCGCAUGGUUCGAAAUUGAAAGGCGGCUUCGGCUGUCACUUAUGGAUGGACCCGCGUCGCAUUAGCUAGUUGGUGAGGUAACGGCUCACCAAGGCAACGAUGCGUAGCCGACCUGAGAGGGUGAUCGGCCACACUGGGACUGAGACACGGCCCAGACUCCUACGGGAGGCAGCAGUAGGGAAUCUUCCGCAAUGGACGAAAGUCUGACGGAGCAACGCCGCGUGAGUGAUGAAGGCUUUCGGGUCGUAAAACUCUGUUGUUAGGGAAGAACAAGUGCUAGUUGAAUAAGCUGGCACCUUGACGGUACCUAACCAGAAAGCCACGGCUAACUACGUGCCAGCAGCCGCGGUAAUACGUAGGUGGCAAGCGUUAUCCGGAAUUAUUGGGCGUAAAGCGCGCGCAGGUGGUUUCUUAAGUCUGAUGUGAAAGCCCACGGCUCAACCGUGGAGGGUCAUUGGAAACUGGGAGACUUGAGUGCAGAAGAGGAAAGUGGAAUUCCAUGUGUAGCGGUGAAAUGCGUAGAGAUAUGGAGGAACACCAGUGGCGAAGGCGACUUUCUGGUCUGUAACUGACACUGAGGCGCGAAAGCGUGGGGAGCAAACAGGAUUAGAUACCCUGGUAGUCCACGCCGUAAACGAUGAGUGCUAAGUGUUAGAGGGUUUCCGCCCUUUAGUGCUGAAGUUAACGCAUUAAGCACUCCGCCUGGGGAGUACGGCCGCAGGGCUGAAACUAAAAGAAUUUGCCGGGGGCCGGCACAAGCGGUGGAGCAUGUGUUUUAAUUGGAAGCAACGGGAAGACCCUUCCCAGUUCUGGCCAUCCUUGGCCACCCCUAGAGAUAGGGUUUUUCUUUGGGGACCAGAUUGCCGGGUGGGCCAUGGUGGUGUUCAGUUGGGUUCGUGAGAGGUGGGGUAAAUUCCCGCAACGAGGCCACCCCUUGUUUUUAGUUGCCUUCAUUAAGUGGGCCAUUUUAAGGUGACGCCCGGGGCCAACCCGGAGGAAGGGGGGGAGGACGUCAAUUCUUCAUCCCCCUUUUGCCUUGGGUUCCCCACGUGUUCCAAUGGAGGGUACAAAGAGCGGCAAGACCGGGAGGGGAAGUUAAUUUCAUAAACCCGUUUCCAGUUCGAAUUGUAGGUUGCAAUUGGCCUACAGGAAGCGGGAAUGGUUGGUAUUCGGGGAUCACCAUGCCGCGGGGAAUACGUUCCGGGCCCUGGUCCCCCCCGCCCUCACCCCCCCGGGAGUUGGUA